GUCCACGCCGUAAACGAUGGAUACUAGCUGUUGGGAGCGAUCUCAGUGGCUAAGCGAAAGUGAUAAGUAUCCCACCUGGGGAGUACGGGCGCAAGCCUGAAACUCAAAGGAAUUGACGGGGGCCCGCACAAGCGGUGGAGCAUGUGGUUUAAUUCGAUGAUACGCGAGGAACCUUACCAAGGCUUAAAAUGUAGGUUGACAGGACUGGAAACAGUUUUUCCUUCGGGCAAUUUACAAGGUGCUGCAUGGUUGUCGU
rnacentral:rRNA from 1 species